CCUACGGGGGACAGCAGUGGGGAAUAUUGCACAAUGGGCGAAAGCCUGAUGCAGCAACGCCGCGUGAAGGAAGAAGGGUUUCGGCUCGUAAACUUCUAUCAACAGGGACGAAAGAAAUGACGGUACCGGAAUAAGAAGCCCCGGCUACCGACGGGCCAGCAGCCGCGGUAAUACGUAGGGGGAAAGCGUUACCCGGAAUUACUGGGUGUAAAGGGUGAGUAGGCGGCAUGGUAAGCCAGAGGUGAAAGCCCUGGGCUUAACCCGAGGAUUGCAUUUGAAACUAUCAAGCUAGAGUACAGGAGAGGUGAGCGGAAUUCCUAGUGUAGCGGUGAACUGCGUAGAUAUUAGGAAGAACACCAGUGGCGACGGCGGCUUUCUGGACUGUACCUGACGCUGAGGCACGAAAGCGUGGGGAGCGAACAGGAUUAGAUACCCGAGUAGUC
rnacentral:rRNA from 1 species